AGAGUUUGAUCCUGGCUCAGGAUGAACGCUGGCGGCGUGCCUAAUACAUGCAAGUCGAACGAAACUUCUUUAUCACCGAGUGCUUGCACUCACCGAUAAAGAGUUGAGUGGCGAACGGGUGAGUAACACGUGGGCAACCUGCCCAAAAGAGGGGGAUAACACUUGGAAACAGGUGCUAAUACCGCAUAACCAUAGUUACCGCAUGGUAACUAUGUAAAAGGUGGCUAUGCUACCGCUUUUGGAUGGGCCCGCGACGCAUUAGCUAGUUGGUGGGGUAAAGGCUUACCAAGGCAAUGAUGCGUAGCCGAACUGAGAGGUUGAUCGGCCACAUUGGGACUGAGACACGGCCCAAACUCCUACGGGAGGCAGCAGUAGGGAAUCUUCCACAAUGGGCGAAAGCCUGAUGGAGCAACGCCGCGUGGGUGAAGAAGGUCUUCGGAUCGUAAAACCCUGUUGUUAGAGAAGAAAGUGCGUGAGAGUAACUGUUCACGUUUCGACGGUAUCUAACCAGAAAGCCACGGCUAACUACGUGCCAGCAGCCGCGGU
rnacentral:rRNA from 1 species